rnacentral:rRNA from 1 species
GAUGAACGCUGGCGGCGUGCUUAACACAUGCAAGUCGAACGGUGAAGGCGGAGCUUGCUCUGCUGGAUCAGUGGCGAACGGGUGAGUAACACGUGAGCAAUCUGCCCCUGACUCUGGGAUAAGCGCUGGAAACGGCGUCUAAUACUGGAUACGAGCUGCGCAGGCAUCUUCAGCAGCUGGAAAGAACUUCGGUCAGGGAUGAGCUCGCGGCCUAUCAGCUUGUUGGUGAGGUAGCGGCUCACCAAGGCGUCGACGGGUAGCCGGCCUGAGAGGGUGACCGGCCACACUGGGACUGAGACACGGCCCAGACUCCUACGGGAGGCAGCAGUGGGGAAUAUUGCACAAUGGGCGCAAGCCUGAUGCAGCAACGCCGCGUGAGUGACGACGGCCUUCGGGUUGUAAACCUCUUUUAGCAGGGAAGAAGCGAAAGUGACGGUACCUGCAGAAAAAGCGCCGGCUAACUACGUG